rnacentral:rRNA from 1 species
UACGAAGGGGGCUAGCGUUGCUCGGAAUCACUGGGCGUAAAGGGUGCGUAGGCGGGUCUUUAAGUCAGGGGUGAAAUCCUGGAGCUCAACUCCAGAACUGCCUUUGAUACUGAGGAUCUUGAGUACGGGAGAGGUGAGUGGAACUGCGAGUGUAGAGGUGAAAUUCGUAGAUAUUCGCAAGAACACCAGUGGCGAAGGCGGCUCACUGGCCCGAUACUGACGCUGAGGAGCGAAAGCGUGGGGAGCGAACAGG